GUCAGGGUGGAAACCCUCCGUGAGCUCCUGCUGUGGGCACCUACCUGGUGCUCAGUGCUAGUAACUCCCUGAAGCUCGUGCUCUAAGCACCGGUGCUCAUUACUUCAUGCAAACCCCAGCAAAUAACCAAAGAUCCCCAAAUUUUAGGACUUCCCAUGUCCCUUUCUCUCCAACCUUCCCUUCUUCCCAAUGUUGUCAGCCUGGUAGCCUUCAUGGUCUAGCCCAGAAUCCACAAUAUACCAUACUCCAUGGCAAUGUAUAAAGCACAGAUAGUUACAAACAUUAUCUAAUUUUUCACUUUAGCUUGGUGAAAAUUCACAGGUACUCGGAAUUUUAUAGGUAUGACUCUCAGUUUCAGUUUGCCGAAUUCAUCCUGACUUCGACAUUUAAUUUAGCCCUAUUUCUUCCAGCUCCUUUGAGAUAAAAGGCAUCGGACCCCAAGUCCUCCAGUCGGUUCCAUGAUUAAAUGAUUCUAGAGCUGGCUUCCUUACUGCAGGCUGAGCAGCUCCCUUGUUCUGGUUGGAGGUAUUUUCUGUCUUGGACAUUCGACAUCUUGAAAGCAAGCUCCUGUGUUGGUCAUCAUGCCCGGUCCAUAGCUGCUGUCCUGGGACGUUGCCUUCAGCCUCCUCCUGGACUGACUUUCUUUGCUCCCCUGGCCUUCCAUUUCCUGGGUCUCAUCUCUUGUUUUGGUGAGGUGCUCAUAGUCGCUGUACAGAGAUCAGGCUGGGCAGUUCAGUUACAGAACCUCUGA
rnacentral:lncRNA from 1 species